AAGGUGCUUCAAGACAAGGGUGCCUCUAAAGGCUUGACAGGGCCUUGACUACACAAUUCGAGCUGAAUUUGCCCCUUGUCAGCUGCCAGUAAAUAAAUCUCAAAGGGGGAAAAGCUGAAGUUUCAUUACCUGAUCCGUGGGGCUUUGUUGGUUUUGGCAUCACACAGGGGAAGCUCUUGCCCCUCCAUUCUCUGGAUUUGAAGAUGUCCAUUGGAGCCUGCAGCGUCUGGAACCUGCCCAUGCACCAGAACAAUGCUUUCACAUGUGUGCCACCAAGGCCUGUCUGAGCUGGGUCCGUAUGGGUGCAGUUCUAGCCAGCGGGUACUGGAUUCAGCCUAAGGUGGGCACGUGGUAAGGCUCAGCAUUGAUGUGUGAAGCUGGAUAUGCAGCCUGCUGGGACAACGCAGUCCUCUUCUGUCCGCAAACAGUGUCUGUGAGCAGCAGGGCAGUGGUGGGCCUGCAGGGCCUUUCAAGUGUCUCCACAUGGAAAAAGAAUCGAGCUGAUCUUGCUUUGAAGAACCCUUGGCCUACGUAACAAAUAGGAUCUCUCUCGAGUUUGGCGCCCCACGUGAAGGAGGACACCGCGUUCGUGGAAGACAUCUCCUGAGUUAUCUGCCUUUUGUGCUUUCUCACGGUUCAAGUGUGGAGGUCACCAUGAGUUGGCAACAGCUUUCAGUCACUACUAAACAAGGCUGGAUUGAACCUGUAAGGCAGAGGUGAAAGCUACAUAUCCAGUAUCAAUCCCUUCCUGUGAGCAGCGCUGUGUUUACCAGCGGGGCAGCAGCGGAGCUGUGUGUCUCUUUAAAGGCAGUUUUUGGCAUCUAAUGUUAAUCCUGAAAUUGGAAACCACAGUGGAUAAAAGUUCUGUGUAACUUGCUUCCAGAACAAAUAAGUUGUCUGGUAGGUGGGUUCCAGACAGAGACUCUUCUCUGGCUGCAGCAUUUUGUCACCAUUCCCUUUUGGACUUGUGCAGCAGCCCCCAGCGCAUACCAAGCGGUGGUCCCAUUGUGCAGCGACUAAUGGAAGUUCGUGAAUACUCAUUUCGUAUUAGUUCCACAAGAGCGUAAGCUUGCGCUUGUUUUUGGUGAAACAGAGAGAGGCUCAGCCGAAGACUAUUUUUAUCUGAAGAAUCUCACAGAACAGAGGAGUAAGGGGUCGUGCAGAAUCCACCAGUCUGCUGUGCAGACGACUUUUAGAAGACAACAGUUUGUUGAUUUUUAUAAAAGGGCCGGUGUUAGCAACAGCCGUCUCCAAAGAGAUUAAUUCAACACUGGAUGGCAGCAGCAGAGGCUAGCAGCUACCAGAGAGAAAGGACAGUGUUAAAGGCGUGGGUGUUGCCUCCGGAGAAUAUGUCCCAACUAGUCGGAGGAUCUUGAAAUCUAUCUAUGCUCAUUUUCAGCUUGUGGAUAAUGAAUGUCUGAUGGUGCCUUAAAUAAAAUGCAAUAUACUUAAA